rnacentral:rRNA from 1 species
ACGAACGCUGGCGGCGUGCUUAACACAUGCAAGUCGAACGGAAAGGCCCUGCUUUUGUGGGGUGCUCGAGUGGCGAACGGGUGAGUAACACGUGAGUAACCUGCGCUUGACUUUGGGAUAACUUCAGGAAACUGGGGCUAAUACCGGAUAGGAGCUCCUGCUGCAUGGUGGGGGUUGGAAAGUUUCGGCGGUUGGGGAUGGACUCGCGGCUUAUCAGCUUGUUGGUGGGGUAGUGGCUUACCAAGGCUUUGACGGGUAGCCGGCCUGAGAGGGUGACCGGCCACAUUGGGACUGAGAUACGGCCCAGACUCCUACGGGAGGCAGCAGUGGGGAAUAUUGCACAAUGGGCGGAAGCCUGAUGCAGCAACGCCGCGUGCGGGAUGACGGCCUUCGGGUUGUAAACCGCUUUCGCCUGUGACGAAGCGUGAGUGACGGUAAUGGGUAAAGAAGCACCGGCUAACUACGUG